rnacentral:rRNA from 1 species
UACGAAGGGGGCUAGCGUUGUUCGGAAUUACUGGGCGUAAAGGGCGCGUAGGCGGUGUGUCAAGUCAGGCGUGAAAGCCCCGGGCUCAACCUGGGAACCGCGCUUGAGACUGGCACGCUAGAGUUCGGGAGAGGAUGGUGGAAUUCCCAGUGUAGAGGUGGAAAUUCGUAGAUAUUGGGGAAGAACACCGAUGGCGAAGGCAGCCAUCUGGGACCGACACUGACGCUGAGGCGCGGAAAGCGUGGGGAGCAAACAGG